rnacentral:lncRNA from 1 species
CAGAGACCUGAGCAGUCUUCUGAUUUUCGUUUCUCAGCCAGGAGUGCCUGUGGGAAGAAAAUAAAUGGUUAUAUUCUCUUCCCAGAGCCCCAGCCUGUCUGAGGAGCCUGGGACCGAGCACACAGGAAGUUGUUUGUCCGCAGUCCCUGGAACCCUGCGUGGGGUUUUGGCUUAGAGUGUGGCAGGAGGUGGAGGAUAGGGAGGCAGAGAGCAAUGCGGACGGAGUGAUACCCUCAUCAAAAGUGACGGGGCCUUCCAAGAGCCCUGCCGUCUCGCCUUGCCGUCUGGGAGCCACGACUGUUAUCUCCCUCACCGACUUCUACAGAAUUAGCCUCACUGAGCAGGAGGAUUCUGGAGGCGGGGAGAUGGAGUCAUGUGAUCAGCCACAAGCAUAUACAGAACUAGCCAAUACAUGGAGCUCAAGGUGAACACCCAGCUCCCAGCACAGAGCCUGACGCAGAGCCGGAAUUGGAGCUGCAGUGAGAACCAGCAUGACAGAGACGGCACAGCGAGAGCACAGUGUGUCCAGAUGAGGAGAGCAUCUUAGAAAGGGGGCGGUCUGUCAAGAGGAUGAGCUGGCUUCACUCGUAACAGCACAAUUGCCGCAACAACUUCCAUUUCUU